UCCCUGGCAGUCCGGUGGUUAAGACUCAGUGCUUUCACUUCCGAGGCCCAGGUUUGAUUCCUGGUCAGGGAA
rfam:TPA: Bos taurus chromosome 21, whole genome shotgun sequence.